UACGUAGGCAGCAAGCGUUGUUCGGAGUUACUGGGCGUAAAGAGUGCGUAGGCGGUCUUUUAAGUUUGGUGUGAAAUCUCCCGGCUCAACUGGGAGGGUGCGCCGAAAACUGGGAGGCUUGAGGAUGGGAGAGGCAUGCGGAAUUCCUGGUGUAGCGGUGAAAUGCGUAGAUAUCAGGAGGAACACCGGUGGUGUAGACGGCUUUCUGGACCGUAACUGACGCUGAGACACGAAAGCGUGGGUAGCAAACAGG
rnacentral:rRNA from 1 species